UACGUAGGUGGCGAGCGUUGUCCGGAUUUAUUGGGUUUAAAGGGUGCGUAGGCGGAUUGAUAAGUUAGAGGUGAAAUGUCCGAGCUCAACUCGGGAACUGCCUCUAAUACUGUUGAUCUAGAGAGUAGAUGCGGUAGGCGGAAUGUAUGGUGUAGCGGUGAAAUGCUUAGAGAUCAUACAGAACACCGAUUGCGAAGGCAGCUUACCAAUCUAUAUCUGACGUUGAGGCACGAAAGCGUGGGGAGCAAACAGG
rnacentral:rRNA from 1 species